rnacentral:lncRNA from 1 species
ACUUUAAUACUUUUUAAGUAUAUAUGUGUAGAAAAUCGUGUAAUAUUGGAUGAGUUAUUAAUAAAUUUUUAAUAUUUAAAAUUAUCAAAAAUUAAAAUUUAAUAACUAAAAUUAAAAUUUUAAUACUUUAUCCGUCGAUUGCAUGAGUGUCAACCAAAAAUCUUGAUAUCUAUGAAUCACGUUUAAUCAGCAGGAUCAAUAUGAGUGAGAAAUCUAAAAUGAACACUGAAACAUUAUCUGUGGCUGACGUGCCGUUCCCGCCUGUUUGCUUCUGGUCUGGGCAGUCAAAUGCAAACUUUGAUCUGUAUUUUUUUUUUUUAAGCAAACGUUUAAUUUGAAAAGUUAUAUGAUAUAAUCUAUCAAUCUUUUGCAAAUCUAACCGAUCACCAAUCUUUUCUUCAUUAUCAGAUGAUGAUGAUGAUGAUGAUAUAUAUAGCAUGAUUUUUUUUUUUUUCAAUAGAAACCCCAGUUCCCGGAGCCGGUGACCCUGGGGACCCGCAGCCUUUUACUUUUCUAUUUGUUUAUCCGCCGCCUAUGUCCAGCUACCCUGAACCCAGCAAGUUGGCUUCAACGUAAUUAGAGAACGUGGGGUAAGGUCAAGUUACACCACUUGACAAUUAUGUUUGAACCUAAAACUGGGGCUUUUUUCUGGUGCUUCUUGUUGGCGGAAAGCUCUAUUUUUAAACUCAGAAAUCGCAGUCUGCGCCCCCCGCUAAAUCCAAAUGGCCGGCCUUUUAACUCGGAACAAACCUUUCCCUCUUAAAAAUUUCUUAAAUUUCUGACAAAGUAGUCUUCUUUAUUCAAUUUGGACAGGAAAAACAGGUUAGUAGACAAAAGAAACGAAAAUUGGAGUAGAAGUAGCAAACUUGCUUAAGCAAUGCAAGCAAGCCUUCUCGAAC